AAGUCACAACUACUUGGUAUUGAUCAAUUAGCUCACCUGCUGUCAUCAUCAGGCAAUUGCAGAAUACACUAUACAACCUGAAGCAGGACCAGCUGAUGCAGAUGCAAGAAUGCCAGAGCGAGGGCGUCUUAAGCUACGUGUCGGGAAUCUGAAUUCCAAGUCACAACUACUUGGUAUUGAUCAAUUAGCUCACCUGCUGUCAUCAUCAGGCAAUUGCAGAAUACACUAUACAACCUGAAACAACACCAGCUCAUGCAGGUGUUUUCAUAUCCAAAUAGAUGCAAGAAUGCUAGAGCAAGGGCGUCUUAAGCUACGUGUCAGGAAUCUGAAUUCCAAGUCACUACUACUUGGCUCUCCAUCAAGUUCCAAUUCUACAAGUGUUAAUUCCAGCUUCUGAAUCCAAGAACUUAUGCUGGUGCAUGAUGCGACAUGAGCUGCUAAUGUUUUCUCAAGCAUGGUGAAAAUAUUGAAUCGGGUAGAUUGAUUUUAGCUACCAUAACAUCUAAAACCAGCUCAAAGGUUGGAAAAUCCAAUGCUUAUGGUGAUCGUGGACUUCCAUCAUAGCAAGGAACAUAGUUGCAUCUUCACUACGUUUUCAUUUGGUUUAAUUGCUUAAUUUUUUGAAUCAUGGCUUAUAUUUUGAUCAAUAUCUUGUUCCUGUAGAGGGGUGCUCCUACCAAAGGACCAAGACAAGAUUGAUCGUGUGUGUUCACGUCAUCAACAUUCAGUCACACGCUCUGCUCAAUGUGAAUGACUCAAGCAAGGUAACAUAAAUUUGGCAGUUCACAUACAAGGUAUGACUUUUCUUUUUGGUUGUUAUGCUUGAUGUAUUUCUUUUUGGGUUAAUUUUGUCCGAUUGAUGUCUUUUUAUUCUUUUUGUCUUUCAUUGUUGGUGAUUGUGGAUUUUUUUUUGAUUGGUUUGUGAUUUUUGGGGUUUUAUUCAGAAUUAUUUAUGUGUUUGUGUUUUUGGUGUUCUGAUUGUUUUUUUUGAUGUACAGUUGUGUUGUUUGCUUUGUUUCUGUAAUUUAUUUUGUGUUUUCAUUGUAUUUGUGCUGUUUGUAGUGUAAUUUGACAUGUGAUUGUUGUUUGGCUUUUGAUUGUCUAUGAUUGUGGGUUUUUUUGUGAGUGUUGUGUGGUUUUUGGAUUUUUAUUGUUUAUGUAACUGUUUGUAUUCUGAUUGUUUGAUUGUUCUUGGUUGUGGGCUUGUUCAGUUACUUGAAUUGUUGUGGGUUUUGGUGCAAUUUGACUUAAUUGUUCGAACUUGUUUCUUGGAUGAGAUCUUUUGUUUUCUGUUUGACCAUUAUUGUGGGUUUUUUUGUGAGUGUUGUGUGAUUUCGGGAUUGUUUAUGUGAGAGUUUGUAUUCUGAUUGUUUGAUUGUUCAUGGUUGUGGGCUUGUUUAGUUACUUCAAUUGUGUGACUAAUGUCUUAUGAUCUUUUUUUUCUUAUGAUUGUUCGUGAUUGUGGAUUUUUUGUGAUUGUUGUGUGAUUUGUGGGUUUUCAUUCACAUUUUUUAUGUGUUUGAGCUUUUUGUAUUUUGAUUGUUUUUGUGACUGUGUUGUGUUGGUGAUUGUGGUUUUUUUGUGAUUGGUCUGUGAUUUUUUGGGGUUUUAUUCAGAAUUAUUUAUAUGUUUGUGUUUUUUGUGUUCUGAUUGUUUUUGUUAUGUGGGGUUGUGUUGGUUUGCUUUGUUUUUGUAAUUUAUUUUGGAUUUUCGUGCAGUUUGUCUUAAUUGUUCGAACUUGUUUCUUGAAUUUGAUCUUUUGUUUCAAAUUAGUUUGUGAUUGUGAGAUGUUUGUGAUUCGCGACUGUUUUUAGUCGGUUAUGAUUCUUGAAUUUCUAGUUUCUUGUAAUUGGUUUUAAUUUUGUCUUGUAAUUAGUUUUGUGAUUGUGGGCUUGUGCAAUUGGUGUGAUAUUUGAAUUAGUUUCUUGGAUCUUUCUUUGUUGAUGUGAUUAUUCACUUUCUUUGGGUGAAUUUGAUCUCAUUGAUGUUCCAAUAUUUGGUUAGUUUUCUGGGUGUUUGAUUCUUUUGAUGUUCUAAUGGAAUUUCAGUAAUUAAUUGUGUGGUUGUUGGUUUUUUUUUAUUGAUUGUUCUAUGAUUUGUGGGAUUUUAUUCUGGUCGUUUAUGUGACUGUGGUAUUAGUGUUCUCAUUGUAUUUGUGUUGUUUGUAGUGUUAUUUGAUCAGUGAUUGUGGUUUGUCUUUUGAUUGACUAUGAUUGUGGGUUUUUUUGUGAGGGUUGUUUGGUUUCUGGAUUUUUAUUUUUCAUGUGAUUGUUUGAUUGUUCUUGAUUAUGGGCUUGUUUAGUUACUUGAAUUGUUGUGGGUUUUGGUGCAAUUUGACUCUAUUAUUCGAACUUGUUUCAUGGAUUAGAUCUUGUCUUCUAAAUAGUUUAUGUGAUUAUGGGUUGUUUGUAUCUUUGUGUGAUUUUGGUUUGUCUUCUCAUUUUUUUUGUGAUCGUGAGUUUGUCUUAUGAUUGUUCGUGAUUGUGGGUACUUUUCGGAUUGAUUGUUUUGUGAUUUGUGGGAGUUUAUUCUGAUUGUUUAUAUAAUUGUGUUGUUUGUGUCUCAUUGUAUUUAUGACUGGGGGUUGUGUCUGUUUCUUUUAUUACUGUGAUUUAUCGUGGGUUUUGGUGCAAUUUGAGUUAAUUAUUGGUACUUGUUUCUUGGAUUUGAUCUUUUGUUUCUAAUUAGGUUGUAAUUGUAGGUGGUUGUUUGUGAUGCUUGAUAGUUUCUGCAGUUAUUCUGUUUUUCAUUUUCUUGGAAUUUUGCUUGAUUUUAUCUUGUAAUUAGUUUUGUUA